GUGGGGAAUAUUGGACAAUGGGCGAAAGCCUGAUCCAGCAAUGCCGCGUGAGUGAUGAAGGCCUUAGGGUUGUAAAGCUCUUUUACCAGGGAUGAUAAUGACAGUACCUGGAGAAUAAGCUCCGGCUAACUCCGUGCCAGCAGCCGCGGUAAUACGGAGGGAGCUAGCGUUGUUCGGAAUUACUGGGCGUAAAGCGCACGUAGGCGGUUACUCAAGUCAGAGGUGAAAGCCCGGGGCUCAACCCCGGAACUGCCUUUGAAACUAGGUAACUAGAAUCUUGGAGAGGUCAGUGGAAUUCCGAGUGUAGAGGUGAAAUUCGUAGAUAUUCGGAAGAACACCAGUGGCGAAGGCGACUGACUGGACAAGUAUUGACGCUGAGGUGCGAAAGCGUGGGGAGCAAACAGGAUUAGAUACCCCAGUAGUCC
rnacentral:rRNA from 1 species